rnacentral:lncRNA from 1 species
CUGAUCGUCAACAAUACAAACAGCGGUAAUGUCCUAGUCAGCAGUACCUUGCGAUAUUGUGAUAUCUCGUUUGUCUCUCGCCGUUCGAACGACAGUUAACCGUAACUAAUCGGCCGAUGCAUUUGAACGGCACCGAUGGGAUUCACACGAUUGAAAUUCGUCACGCGCCGCCCAGAAUCUAAACCGAGAUAUGAGUGGAACCGCUUGCAACGUACUUGUACGCGAUAUCUGCGUCAGUUGACGCGAAAAACAGCUUGGUCAUCCUGGAACGUGGAGUGAAAUAUCAAGGCUGCUUCGGUCUACACACUCAUUCGAGGGUGGUCCGGUGCAGGAGAGCCCCGGGGUUUAUCGAGACUAAGCCAGACUGUUACCUACUACCAUGACGGGGUCUCGAGAUCUCUGGUGGCCGGUCGGUUCACGGCGAAUUAUCAUACGCGAGUGUAAUGGACGAGAAAACGAACGAUUGAACCAGCCUAUCUUUCUUCACAAUUCUAUGCCUCAUCGUCUUCGCGAUUCUUAGACGUCUCGUACUCUUCGACGACGUGUUUGCCUAAAUCGAAGGCGGUGAAUCUUCGAAGGAUUCACCUUUCUUCGUUCGUCUUCGCGGCGAAGAAACGAACUGAUUUACAUACCGGCUACGCCACUGCUGUGCUUUUACUGCGGGGGAGAUGACACGAGCGUGACGAUGGUGUGCGCUUAUAUGCGGAUGUGUGCGAGGAUCCAUACACGUGGACCCCUCAUCGUACCCGGAAGGUGCGGCCCCCAGAAGUUCAAGGACUACACGCCAGGUGCCGCUGAAGGGGACUUAAGCCGAAACAUGUGCCAGCAGGUCCUUCCUCUGAGAUCCUUAGAAGAGCAUCUUCUCGCGUGACCUCUUCAUCCCGCUGUUGUUCCUUUCAGACUAAAUGAAUUCACCUCGCGAAAAGUCUAUUGUUGGAACUUUUGUAAAAUUAAAAACGAAUACGAAUUUUGUUGCAUACUUGAAAAAAAAAAUCAACCUCAAUAAAACUCCGCGAUUGUAAAGAAUAUUUAUAAAUUGAUAUUACAGUUAAUCGAUCUCAAACGACGAAGCCAUACGGCGCGUCGCGAUAAAUACUUUAUGACUGUUUGCGUGAUCCCGUUCAAACAUUGCGUGUCAACGCAUUUCUUGCGAAAUAUAUAUGACGCCGAUCGUAAGUAUCGCAAACGAUAAGGAAGUCCCGUUAUUAUUCCUAGUAAAUCCGAAUGGACACAACUCUAUUCUCUUCUCGGUUAAUUUACGAUGCUACCGAUAACACUUCGAGUUUCUUUGAAACGACGCGUCGUCAUAAUUUUCUCGCCUCAGACCUGAACGCGAUAUCCGAACGACAGUUCUAGAAACACGGGGCCUAUCUGAACUAAUCGCCUUAAGCUAUCAACGCGUCCAGACUAAGCCGAUCAUUUCCUAAAAACCGGCGUAAGCGGCGCGAGAUUAUUUCUAUCUGUUUGAGACAUACGAAAGGCGAAAAUGUACACGUGGCAGAGAUGCUAGGAUAUAAAUAGCUCUCCGCUUAUUAUUGAUAAUAAAAUUAAACCUUGAAAAUUAUCGAAUGCAUAAUUAGCGAUCGACGCCAACACGCGAUCGCUACGAACGACUGUAAGGUGAGUCCUCGCGCGACUAUACGGCUUUCACGUAUAGUCUGCCUUUUUCCCUCCCCGAGUCGCGUGGCGAGGAGAGCGCGACGAGAGGCUUUCGAAGGAAACAUACGGAGUCGAUCCUCCUCGCCUGGCCGUCGCACCCACACACACUCCUACUUUCAAACUCGUAUCAAGUACGGGUCUCGGUAAUCUCCGACAUCGACGGUUAUAUACUUAUCCGGCUCUUUUGCCGGCGAGCAUGAUUCAUCCUGAGACGGCAUAAAUCACUCCGCGGGUCCCAAUUCCGUCCGGAAGAUGCCGACAACUUAUUGAAAACGAAAUUUCUCCACGAGUCGUUCACGCAAUCUUUUGUUCUUCGAUUACGUCCGUUUGCGCGACAAAUAAAUUGUUACACUCUAAAUAUUUCUUUAGAAGGAAAGUGAAAAGUCCAUUUCAUGACUAAUCCAAGUAACAUGAAAAAUGCAGCCAUCUUUUUUUUUGAGUCGAUAACGCGAGAUAUCGUGAAAAAUACGCAGUUUGAAGUAAGCGCCUCGCUCCGGCACAGAAAGGCCGUAAACAAUAUUGUCGCGGUGCGUCUCGCGACGGGCUGUUUAUCACUCGGACAAGGAACGUGUUAACGGAGAUCCGUAAAACGAGGCAAUAGAUUUAGAAAGUACAUAAGUCGUAACGACAGCGCGGAACAGCCCCCUUUUCGGCUCGUCCGUUUCAUCGAACUCGUUUCUGCGGCGCAGAACCAGAACGAGGUCUAUGCAGAUGCAGCUGCGCGUCGGUCGGUCGCAUCUUCGUCCUAAAGAAACGCGCGGUCGUUCCUAACGACCAACGUGUGGGCUCGCGCGCGCGCGCCGGUAAGUGCCCCGAAGUGACGCACAAAAAUAGACGGAAACGUAUGUUCGGCACGCUUCCUCCCUCGCUCCUUCGGGAAAAAAUCCGUCAGCGCGACAGAUGCGACGAUAACCACGAAAAUGUCUGAAUCGCAGACGCCUGUCUCCCAAGUCGCUCCAACUGCUGCUUUCCACGGCGACCAGGAGCCGCUUGAGUCACGCGCAUUGAUCGGAGAUUUAUUUACGUAUUCGCGUCGCGCGCGCAACACGUGUUCCUAAAAAAUUGUAAAUUGCUAUCUAUAAAUAUGACCGUGCCGUAACACUAGACAAAUCAUUAUCGGUAUCGUAGAAGCGGCAGCCGCAAAAUAGAAAGGCAUACGUUCUGCUCAAACGAGAUAUCACUUUUACGUACACCUGUCUCUACGCGCUUCUAAAAAUAUCACCAAUCAUUUCUAACGCGCUUUGAUCCCGCGGGCGACAAAAAUAGGACGCCUUCUACGCGUUUUCGAUUUUUUUUUUUUUUAAUACAGUAAACGCGUUGUCGUUUAUUCAUUGCACAUGACACUCGAUUGGAGAUAUCGAACGAGCGAAAAUUUGUUAAUUUCACUUCAAGCGGCGGCCGCGCGAUUUGUAACACUUUCGAUUAAUAAUCGUUUAAAUAUCAAUGACGGCGAGUUAAUUGUCGGCCCCGGUGUCACUUUCGCUAAAAAAAAAAAAAAAACGCAAAUUCGCGCUGCGUCCAAAGGCACUAUCGCGAAUUCUUUAUCGUCGCCGUCAUCGGGUCGGGGCCGCAUAAAAAUCGUUAAUAAUCUCAGCUAUUUGUAUGCGCUUGCUGUUGCAAUGCAUUUUGUAAUAAUCCGGCGCUGUGUUCCUUAUCGCGUUUCUCAUUUAGCAGUCCACUUCAAUUAGCCGUCAAUUAGAUACCACCGGCGGAGCACUUGGCUGAUUAACGAGUGUCUUGAAACCGGUCAAAUCGUUUCCCGUCGACAUCAAAGCUCGCAGGCCCGAGCGAGCGACCUCACUGAACUCGCGUAUGCAUAUUUACCUGCAUACGCGCGUUUUAUAAUAAGUCACUUACGAGCCCGUUAACGGAAAGUUUCAAUCACGAGGUUUAUCAGCACAAACGCGCCAUUAUCACGCGCUACGCCGGACGUGUGUACGCGCAGUAACUUCUUUUUCUAUUUACUUAAUUAUCACGCGUUCCCACACACACACUUGCGCGCGCGUGUGUCGUGACGAGCUGUCACCGUGCGAUUCCCUUCCCAUUUCCUUUCGCCCACUUUUCGCGCUUCGAGAACAUAUUGCGAUUUGAUUCAAUUUAACAGAUCCCGCCCGAUGUAAAACGCACUGAUGUGUAACGACGCGUUAUCUAGACGUCGGUAAUUAUCGCCGAUAGCAAGCGGCCGUCUUCCGCGCUCGCAUGCUUCACGCGCGUAUUUCGUGGCUACUUUGUGUCUUUUUGCGCAAAGCGUGUCAGACAGCGAGCCGCGGUAAAUCGAAGGCAAUUUCGCUCGCUUUGCAGAGACGCAGAUGUAAAACAUAAUAAUGCAUUUUCUAUCUGUCCAUCUAUCACUCUCCCUUUCCAUUCCGGCACGGUGUUGUGCUGUUGCGAGCGAUAAGUGCGAUUUAAUUUAAAGCUUGUUCAAGUCUGAAUUGACAAGACUCUCUAAACCGUUGGUAUAUAUCAAUUUUUAUACGGAUAAGCACAGAUUAAAUAUCCUUAGGGGCAUCCUUAGAAAUACAUUACAGGCAUUAUUUCUUAUUUCGAGAAGUAGAACUGAAAGGAGAAUGCAUGGAUUGGAGAUGUAUUUAUUUAUUUAAUACGCUCUUAAUUUUUCUACUUGAUAACGAGUAUUACCUUAGAAAUAUUACCGAGUAUUACUAACGAGUAUUAGCGUAGAAUGAGUCCCGAUGUCUCUAUGCUAUUGCAUUGAAAGUUCCUAAUUGAAAAGUAAUCUAUUUUUGAUAUUUUUUUGUACUACUUUUUUGCUUCAAAUAGUACACAACUUUUUGGGUAAUAUUUUCUGCAAGUUGUAUAUGGUCUUUCAUGUUUUUUCUAUAUAAAAAUUUGACAUUAGCAGUAGAAGUGAAGGUAUCAGUGAAUGUGAUUAUUAUCACAAUUGUUAAAUGUUGAGCGGACAUUAAAAGUGAUUUGUCAAAGUAAGUUCAUAGUUUGUAUUAUUCAUAUCUUUAACUUUUUUUCGCAUAAAAAUUUUUCGAUAAAAAUUUGUAGUUUUUAUGAUAGUUGAUAGAAAUAUUAAAAGUUGAAAUACCGUCUCAACGGAAA